rnacentral:tRNA from 1 species
CCCGAUAGCUCAGUCGGUAGAGCGCCGGACUGUUAAUCCGUAGGUCCCUGGUUCGAGCCCAGGUCGGGGAGCCA